AAACCUUUAACAAUGAAUCUCUUGGUUCUGGUCCCGAUGAAGAACGCAGCGAAACGCGAAAUGUAAUGUGAAUUGCAGAGCUUAGUGAAUCAUUGAAUUUUUGAACGCAUAUUGCGCCUGCUAUUUUAUAGCGGGCAUACCUGUUCGAGCGUCAUUA
rnacentral:rRNA from 1 species